GAUGAACGCUGGCGGCGUGCCUAAUACAUGCAAGUCGAGCGAACAGACGAGGAGCUUGCUCCUCUGACGUUAGCGGCGGACGGGUGAGUAACACGUGGAUAACCUACCUAUAAGACUGGGAUAACUUCGGGAAACCGGAGCUAAUACCGGAUAAUAUAUUGCACCGCAUGGUUCAAUAGUGAAAGACGGUUUUGCUGUCACUUAUAGAUGGAUCCGCGCCGCAUUAGCUAGUUGGUAAGGUAACGGCUUACCAAGGCAACGAUGCGUAGCCGACCUGAGAGGGUGAUCGGCCACACUGGAACUGAGACACGGUCCAGACUCCUACGGGAGGCAGCAGUAGGGAAUCUUACGCAAUGGGCGAAAGCUUGACGGAGCAACGCCGCGUGAGUGAUGAAGGUCUUCGGAUCGUAAAACUCUGUUAUUAGGGAAGAACAAAUGUGUAAGUAACUAUGCACGUCUUGACGGUACCUAAUCAGAAAGCCACGGCUAACUACGUG
rnacentral:rRNA from 1 species